AGAAAUAUGUCUGAUAAAAGAGUUACUUUGAUAGAGUAAAUCAUAGAGGUUAAAAUCCUCUUAUUUCUA
rnacentral:tRNA from 1 species